rnacentral:rRNA from 1 species
UACGGAGGGGGCUAGCGUUGUUCGGAAUUACUGGGCGUAAAGCGCACGUAGGCGGCUUUGUAAGUUAGAGGUGAAAGCCCGGGGCUCAACCCCGGAAUUGCCUUUAAGACUGCAUCGCUAGAAUUGUGGAGAGGUAAGUGGAAUUCCGAGUGUAGAGGUGAAAUUCGUAGAUAUUCGGAGGAACACCAGUGGCGAAGGCGGCUCACUGGUCCAUUACUGACGCUGAGGUGCGAAAAGCGUGGGGAGCAAACAGG